UUGUCCACUUUCAUUUUCCUCUUUCUUUUGUGAGCCGUAACAAUGUGCACUUCGUUAAAACCAACAGCUGAGGUGUUAGUUAAGAACGCAUGGAAUUUUAAUUAUCCAUAUUUUAUUAAUCUCUAGCAAUGGGAUCCAUUAAAUUGGAGAUUCUGGAAUAAUUAGGACGGAUUCACGAAAAUCUCUAAUGGGGAGGAUAUAAUUGCAUAUUUUGUGGCUAAUCGUUCGGUUGUCAUCUGUCAUUCGACAAUUUUCUGUGGACAAUUGUUGCUUCACCUAUAAUUGGCCCUCUUAUUUAAGAGGGCCCAAACAUAACAAAUAACACGGCUCAUCAUCCAAUGAGAUGACCAAAAGUGAGUUGCCUUCUAGCCGCGAUUAAAGGAAAGUCCCUGACUUGUUGUGACGAAUAUUCUACGCAUGCCCUUCAAACACUCCUGCUACCGGACUACGCCCAUAGCUUCUUUAAUAAAGCCAGUGUUGCGUGUUCUGGUUAGGCGUUUGGUGUUUUAAUUUGCUUGAUUAACAUAAUUUGGGCUUUAUUCAAUGCCGAGGUUUCUCUCUAGUCGCGCUCUUUUUCUCCUUGGCAGUCCGCUUUUGCGAGAGUGCGACACUCUUAGGCUUUGCUUGCUUAACUUGUAAUGUACAACAUCCAAAC